rnacentral:rRNA from 1 species
GACAGAGGGUGCAAACGUUGUUCGGAAUUACUGGGCGUAAAGCGCGUGUAGGCGGCCCUGCAAGUCGGGUGUGAAAUCCCACGGCUCAACCGUGGAAGUGCACUCGAAACUGCAGGGCUAGAGUCCUGGAGAGGAAGGUGGAAUGCUUGGUGUAGAGGUGAAAUUCGUGAGAUAUCAAGCGGAACACCGGUGGCGAAGGCGGCCUUCUGGGACGAGUGACCUGACGCUGAGACGCGAAA